GUUCCUUCAAAGAGCAGGCUGUGUGGAGCGUUGCUGCGUGUUACCAUGGUAACAUUCUGACACAACUUGCGAGAGAAGAAGAGUGAAAGCCUGCAGUCAGAGGAGUUGCAGGCUGAAGGUCCGGUGCCACCAUUGGACCACCAGGGAUUGCAGUGUCCCCACCUGGCCAAAGGUAAGGGGGGGGGGGGGCAUAAAGCUUUUUUUCUUCUUUUUUAAAUAAUAAAAAAAUAAACACUUUGCUCCCUUAUCACCCCCCCCCCACACACAGUAUAGACCAUAUUCACACACUGCACCCCCUCACACACAAUCCACCCCUGCACACACUGCACCCCCUCACACACACACUGCACUCCCUCACUCACAUGCUACACCCCCCUCACUCACAUACUGCACCCCUCACACAUACCACUCUGCACCCCCUCACACACACACCACACCCUCACACACACACACACUGCACCCUAUCACACACUGCAUCCCUUCACACAUACUGCACCACACCUCACACACACACUGCACCCCCUCACACAAAUCACACUGCACACCCUCACACACACAACACUCUGCACCUCCUUACACACACACCACCCCCUCACACUGAACCCCCUCUCUCACACACACGGAACACCCUUACACACACCACUCUGAACCCCCUCACACACACCACUCUGCACCCCCUCACACUGAACGCCUUUAGACAUACCACUCUGCAACCCCUCACACACUGAACACCCUUACACACACUACUCUCCACCCCCUCAAACAUACAUUGAACCCGCUCAUAAAAAUCACUCUGCACCCCCAACAAACACACAUAUGGCUGUCAAGACCUGCCCGCUAUUUACUGUAUUAAAAACGAGGGGUGGGGGAUCUAGAUCAAGGCACAGGGAUAAUAUAGUGAUAGGAAUACAGGCCUGUACUCCUAACACUACAAUGCUCCUUUCAUAUAUUCUGUAGCACUGUGCAAUGGAUGGACAAUCCCUUUCUCCCAAC